GUCUUGACAGCUGGCGCCUACCUGAUCACGGAAGGACUGAGUACCCCUCCCGGGGCUGGCAGAUCCUAGAGAGAGCAAAUGACUCUUCAAUUAUAAUGUCCUGGUGUGGAUCUCUUCCAGUUAUCCUGCUAGGAGUUUGCUGAGCUGCUUGCACAGAUGGAUGACCGUUAUUAAAGUUGAACUUUCUUAAAUGCCUGAAAGAAGAAGACAAGAAGGACGAGGAGGGAAGAGAAGGAGGAAGGCGGAAGAGGCGAGAAAGAGGAAG